rnacentral:rRNA from 1 species
AACGAACGCUGGCGGCAGGCCUCAAACAUGCAAGUCUAGGGGGUGUAGCAAUACAUCACCGGCGGACGGGUGCGUAACGCGUGGGAAUGUACCUACUGGUUCGGAACAACUGAGGGAAACUUCAGCUAAUACCCGAAUAAGUCCUUACGGAGAAAGAUUUAUCGCCAGUAGAUCAGCCCGCGUUCGAUUAGCUAGUUGGUGGGGUAACGGCUCACCAAGGCGACGAUCGAUAGCUGUUCUGAGAGGAAGAUCAGCCACACUGGGACUGAG